UGCGUAGGCUGAUAUAUAAGUCAGUGGUGAAAUCCUGCGGCUCAACCGUAGAACUGCCAUUGAUACUGAAGUUCUUGAAUGCAGUUGAGGUAGGCGGAAUGUGUAAUGUAGCGGUGAAAUGCUUAGAUAUUACACAGAACACCGAUUGCGAAGGCAGCUUGCUAAACUGUGAUUGACGCUGAUGCACGAAAGCGUGGGGAGCGAACAGGAUUAGAUACCCUGGUAGUCC
rnacentral:rRNA from 1 species